GACGAACGCUGGCGGCGUGCCUAAUACAUGCAAGUAGAACGCUGAAGGAGGAGCUUGCUUCUCUGGAUGAGUUGCGAACGGGUGAGUAACGCGUAGGUAACCUGCCUGGUAGCGGGGGAUAACUAUUGGAAACGAUAGCUAAUACCGCAUAAUAGUAGAUGUCGCAUGACAUUUGCUGAAAAGGUGCAAUUGCAUCACUACCAGAUGGAGCUGCGUUGUAUUAGCGAGUGGGUGAGGUAACGGCUCACCAAGGCGAGGAGACAUAGCCGACCGGCGAGGGGGAUUGGCCACCCUGGGACUGUGACCCGGCCCAUAGUCCUACGGGAGGCAGCAGUAGGGCAUCUUCGGCAAUGGGCGGAAGUCUGACCGAGCAACGCCGAGUGAGUGAAGAAGGUUUUCGGAUCGUAAAGCUCGGUUGUAAGAGAAGAACGCGCGUGAGAGUGUAAAGUUCACUCUGUGACGGUAUCUUACCAGAAAGAGCCGGCUAACUACGUG
rnacentral:rRNA from 1 species